GUACACUCCUACGGGAGGCAGCAGUGGGGAAUUUUGGACAAUGGGCGAAAGCCUGAUCCAGCAAUGCCGCGUGAGUGAAGAAGGCCUUCGGGUUGUAAAGCUCUUUUGUCAGGGAAGAAACGGUGAGAGCUAAUAUCUUUUGCUAAUGACGGUACCUGAAGAAUAAGCACCGGCUAACUACGUGCCAGCAGCCGCGGUAAUACGUAGGGUGCAAGCGUUAAUCGGAAUUACUGGGCGUAAAGCGUGCGCAGGCGGUUUUGUAAGUCUGAUGUGAAAUCCCCGGGCUCAACCUGGGAAUUGCAUUGGAGACUGCAAGGCUAGAAUCUGGCAGAGGGGGGUAGAAUUCCACGUGUAGCAGUGAAAUGCGUAGAUAUGUGGAGGAACACCGAUGGCGAAGGCAGCCCCCUGGGUCAAGAUUGACGCUCAUGCACGAAAGCGUGGGGAGCAAACAGGAUUAGAAACCCUUGUAGUCCCAUG
rnacentral:rRNA from 1 species